GAUUGACGGCCGGCGUCAUUUGGAUCAUGCGCUUCCACGCGCGACUCAACGCGGAGCCUGCCUCACGCGCGAAACAAGCCUGCCGCAGCCGGGGUUCGAAUCCUGCCUCGCCUCUAUUUCCUUUUUUUUCGGAUCACGGGCGCCGGCUAGGGCUGGCUCUUCGACUUCCUGCCGUUCGCCGGCAGAUCAAAGGGCCUCCGCUCUGAGCGCCUCCGCCCAAAGUGCCGGACGGCAGCAACCCCACCGCAGCCGUCCUCCCGCGCGCCUCCCGCGAAUCCCCAGCGUCGCCCUCGCCUCCCGCCGAACCCGCCCUUCGCCGGCGCCACGAGUGGCGCACGCCUCACCACCCGCGAACCCGACCUGCGCCGCCGCCCCGCCCUGCGCCUGCUGCGGGCUUAGGCCGCCGCCGCCAGCGCGCGGGCAGCGGGUUCCGGCUGAGAUGGGGCCAUGGGGGAAAAAGAAUGGCAGCCGGCCCCGCCCCGAGGCAGAUCCGCAGCCGGCGCAGCACAAUGCCUCAGCAAGGAAGGCCGACUCCCCAGCGCUCCGUCCCUCGAAGACCAGCGCCGUCCUCCACAUAUAGCGCCAGCCGGUUCACGCGGCGAACGGCGACCGGCACAACCGGCGCUGCCCCUCGGUACAAGCCUACAAGAGGCUGCACCCUGUCCAGUGCGGCCCCUCCCACAGGCCGAUUUAUGCAUAUGCAUAGGGAGAUUCGUAGAUGUACGCCCAGAACUGGAUAAGCUUGCAGAACAUGGAUAUUUGGUGAAAGAUGACAGUACUAGCCUUUUGGUUCUGAACUUAUUUGUUUCACCUUCUCAUUGUCCUAUUAUGAAUUUCAUCUCUGCUUGGCUAUAGGUAUUCCAGAAGGAUAUAGCUAGCUGAAAGAAUUAUGUUUGUGUUUUCUUUGGAUGUUUGAUGAAAUUCAUAAUAGGGAUGUCGUCUCUUGUUUGUGCAGCCAGAGAAUGGUGUGCGUCACCUUCUCACCCUCCUUUCCUAUUUUUUGGAGUAUUUACUGCUUUUGUUCUUUUUAGUUCACUUCCCAUUUUCCUCAAAUUGACUAUGCCUUGGGUUACUAACCUGCUCAUCAUGCUGCCCGACAUUGACACUGGGAGUACCAGCCUGCUCAUCAUGCAAAGUUGUAUUGUUUCAUGGAUAAGCCUUACAAUACACAAUUUGCAAAGUUGUAUUGUUCAUACAUACAGGAGCUGCGCCAACCUCACGGUUCUUCUCCAUAGAGGACAAGCUACUCUUGCGUAUGGAUUUCCACAGUUGGUUGCAUUUUCUUUUUCAAGGAAGCUAUUAUGACAUUGGCAAGGCUGGGUUUGUAAGCAGCAGUACACAAAUUAGAUGUGGAACGUGAAAGGUGAGAAGUGCUUCCAAUUCUUCAUGGUUUCAACAACAGUCUUCCAAUUCUUUUAUAUUUUGGUUCCAGAUGCUUUGUUACUCAUUUGCAUUGCGAAAGCAUUUCUUCUUUUGUAGUGGAAUUGACAAUGUAAGGAUUCCAUUCGGUUUUUCCAAUUCAUACUAACUAAUCUAUACUCGGCAAUCCCAUUUCUUUGCAUGCUUUGGUUUCUAUAUAAAAGAUAUUAGAGUUGCAAUCCCAUUUAGAGUUUGAAAAAUUACAGCACUUGUUGGAGUGCACGGGAAUUAAACUUUUGCUCAAGUUCCUCCUCCCUGCUACCUUUUGCUCGAUCCACGGCACAGCUGCUCAGGAACAUCGCUGCUGCUGGUCGAAGAGAGGAGGAGCCGUACGGAGACAUGUUACCUGUACGAACCACCAGUACAAAUACAGCCUGCACUCUCUUGUGCUCCUGCUGUUUUAUAUGAUACAGUGAUUUGCAGGGACAUUUUGCAUGAUGCCUACUGUAUUGUUUUAAAUCUGUUAAUAGUCAAAUAGAGUUUCUAAACCUAUGUACAUGUUGAGAGAUUCCUCGAGGCCACCACGCCUGUGGUUAUGCCCAGCUCCUCCUCCAAGGUAAUGGAAGAUACACCUCUUCGUUUUAGUAGUUUGGUUGUUCUUGAUUCAACGAUGUACUGCUAGAACCACAAAAUGAACAUCUGCAAUUAGUUGUCUUACAGUAUUGUAAACAGUGAACAUUAGCUCAAGUUACAGUUGUGCAGAAGCUUUUUAUGUUAAGAUUGUUCUUCUAGCGGUGAUUGUGUUCAUAUGCUCAUUCAAUAUUUGUAAAAACAAAGACUGAACAAAACUGGUUUACAAGUUCAGAGUUCA